rnacentral:misc_RNA from 1 species
GGGAUAAAGGCUUAGUUGAGUUGCAUCCAUUUCUCAAUGAUUUUGUUAUUAAUCUCCUUUAAGUUUGUAACUUUCUCCUUAAGAGCAUUUUUUCGCUGAAACAAAUGUGUUAGUAACUCCUCCCGGCUAUUGCAAGGCGGUUCAACUACAGGAAGAAAGAACAAUUAUUCCUCUGGAUCAAUUGUCUAUUAAUAUUAGUUAUCAACAAACUUAUAAAUUACCACUUUCAAUCAAAAUAUUCAAAAUAAAAGCCAUUAUAAUUACCUCUCAAGUACCACAUAUUAACAGUUUAUUGACGAUUGAGUCAAUUUGAGAUAUCAAUCAAACGUAGGGAUUUAAUUGAUAAUUAUGCAAACUUUAGGGUUUAAUUACAAAAUUAGCAAACUUCAUUAUUUUUUUUGGCAAUUAUCCCUAAUAUGGAAUUUUUGAUGUGGUUUCUCUAGUGAUUAUAGGGCAGCUGACGUGGAAUUCAUUUUAAGUAUGCUAACGGUUUAUUGGUGGUCAGGCCAAUUUGAGAUAUCAAUCAAGCGUAAGAGUUUGAUUGACAAUUAUGCAAACUUCAAGGUUUAAUUGCAAAAUUUGAUAAAUUUCAAUACUUUUUUGGCAAUUAACCCUUUUUAAUAUGUAGGAUAGAUUGCUAUCAUUGCUACCUAUAUGCGAGAACAAAAUAUAAAGUGAAUUCAAAUUUGAAUUUCUGUAGUCAAGUGAGUGGGUGCAACAAGUCGGGAAGAGUAUGGGCUAUAUAUCUACAUUAGAUAAAUGCUCGUGCACUACACUAUUUAUUAUUUAUAUAAUUUUUUUAAAAAUAAUUCUGUAAUAUAUCAUGCAUGAAUUUUUGUAAUAAAAUUAAUGUAAAAAAU